CAGAAGUGUAACGGGUAGAUGCUUUAAUAUGAGAGGCAGCAGAAUAUAGUUAUAUACCGGUUGGUAUACGUUGUAAAAGCUACAAUCAGUAAAAUUAUCCAAUUUAUGCUUUUGACUGGAGACAGCGACCCAAUUGUUCACUUUAUCGGAAUGCAAAGUUGGAGAAGACCGGGUUCCACGGGAGAAACAGCCACUAAAGUUGGCAACACCAAAUUACAGAGGAGAGCUCAUAGCUUCCACAAAGAGUUCUCGUUUGAGGAAAAGACCGGUGGAACCACCAGCAACAACGAAUUAGAUGUCAGUCUACUGACAAAAACACCCAAAGUCUCCGAAUUAAGAAAACGUUUUGAGGGUGUAAGCACGAGUCAGAGUUGGGACAUGAACAGAAAAGAGCGAAUAUCAAGGCGUCUGGAGGGUAUUGAUAGUGAAGUUCUUCAAAAUCUCCCAAGUUGUGCCGGUCUGGUGACCAAUCGGCUACUAGAGGAGGACACUCCAAGAUAUACCCGUGCGGCAGACACCUGCGACCCCUGUACAGUUUCCCUUCAACACUAUGGCAAAAAUGACCCCAACUACUCAAAAACGUUCAACACAGAGGUUCAAUGCAGGACCAACGUUGACCUCUCAGAGUCUGCCUUUACCACUGACUCCACUCAUGUGGCAGAAGCGGACUCUAAAGCUGAACGGAUCGCCCGCUAUAAAGCGGAACGUCGCCGCCAGCUAGCUGAGCGCUACGGUAUCUCUCUGGAUCAGGAGACCGACACAGACUACUCCACUUGCUACUCCAGAAAUUCCAGAGAGCCCAACGUGGCAGACCGUCAACGCAGAGUGAAGCCAGAAGGAGAGGGUGCAGAGCAUUAUGCUAACACACCUUGGGCUCUUGAAGAUAAGAUGAGCACACAUAUCCGUACAGAUCCAGAGUAUAGCCGGGAGCGUAAAGACUCUCUCUCUGAAUGUGAAAGGUUGAUGAAUCUAGAGAAUCAAAGAAGGGCACUAGAGAGAGAUAAAUUGCACAGAGGUGGUGGGGUAGCACCUGAUGCAUCUGCAGCAUAUAUGGAUGUGUCCGGAUCCGCCAAAGUUCCAGGGAGGGAACCGGUGGUCAUGGGGGUUCCCGGCUCACCCGUCGCAGGCAGAAAGGCCACAAUGCCAUCUCCCAAUCAGGGAUCAUCUCCCGGGGACAUGUUUAUUGAGCAACAGGCCCAUAAUAUCUUCUACAGACAAGGCUCCCGUAGCCAGUCAACCAACCAAUGGUCCCUUCAGACUGAUUCAGAAGGAGACACCCUCUCUCUGAUCAACUGGCCUUCCAGAAUCAGAGUUAGGGAGAGACUGGCCCGUGACGAGCCUUCUCACAAAAGUCCAAACUUGGGCUCUGCAACAGAGACUCCUGCAUACACCCAAUUUCCCCAGUCAUACCCUCGAUAUCAUUCUCACGGUUUGCCACUCCCCAACAUACCAGCUAAACAACACCAGACCCACCCAGGCCAGGAGGAGCGCCAUGAUCUAGGGGGCCAGAGUUACUUCUCUAUGGGCAGUGAAUCCAAACAUAAACACGAGAGCCAGGAGAUUCUCGAAGAAGCAGAAUGCAAAAGAGAUGGGCAACAGGAUGCGAGGGCAGUGGGUCUCCUCCACAGCAGGAAGGCCGUUUUACCCUCUGAGAUUCGACGGAAAGAAAAAAGCACGGAGGACCCACGCCAUGGAUGGACUGAGAACAUGGAAGCAAACCUGAGGAUCAGUGGCCAAGGAAGGGAGUUUGUUACAGAAGAUCCCAGAGGGAUGCGGGGAGGCUGGUCAAGACGGGAAGUUUACACGGAGCACGUGUCCCGACGUCAGGCUGCAGAGUCAAUGUAUGCAAAAUCUAAAGAGUCCCAAAAUAGGGCUAAUGCUACACUUCAUCAGCAAGGAUCCAGUUCUGCUUCGCUUCAAACUUCUACCCAAACCCCUACCGUGUCCUCCAGCGGAAGAUCGGCUCGAGGUUCAUCCAAACCCCUCACUCACUGUGAUGCUGGAAUUGUCAAGAAGACUGUUUCUCAUCAAAAACCCAUCCAGGACUCGAUUCACAUCAGAGAAGCUGCUCCUCAGGAGAAAGUUCCCAAUGGGGAUCUUCUACCUGAACCCAAGGUUUCAGUGGCCCAGCUCCGCCACACCUACAUGAAAAGUGUUGCAAGCCCCCGGAAAACCGAACUGGCAAAAGGACCACCUGCAGUAACAGACGUCCCAUGGAGAAAUGGGAGAGGGGGAGAUCGGUCAUCUCAUCGCCCUAUGAGAUAUACAUGUUCCGCAGAGAGUAGAAAGACAUCUGAGAGAUUUAGAACUCAGCCGAUCACAACAACUGAACGUGAACGGUUGGACCGGUCUUGUCUAACCCCUGAACAGCCAAGCCCUCAGGUGGAUGAGGAGAAGCUGGAUGAGAGAGCAAAGCUGAGUGUGGCUGCCAAGCGCUCUCUCUUCAGGGAGCUAGAGAAGAGUUCAGAUGGUUCAGUUCUGAAGUCGUGGAGUCGUAACCCUGGUGUGGAACGGAGGCUGAGGAGAGGUCAGGAUCGCUCUCGCACCCAGCCUGUGACAUCAGAGGAAGUGGUCAUUGCUGCGACUGUCCCUGGCCAUUUGUCACAGUCCGAGACUGUGCAAACCUCUGUAGCACGUGUUCCUAGUUCCACUUUAAUCAACAGUUCUGUGACCAAACACAGUCUGCAGGCAUCAUCUCAGCAGAGCUCAAUGGUGAGGGAGCACGCCAGAGAAAUUCGGCUUGCUCAGGAGGCCGUGGAGAUGGAUCUAGCUCGGCACGCAUUUCCUGGGGAGGAUGGCAAGGAGGAGCCAGACCUUUCCACUCUUACACUGGCAGAGAAGAUGGCACUCUUUAAUCGCCUGGCACAGCCGUUCAGCCACGCCCCUCGGGCUAGGAGUGACACUCGGGCACGCAGGAAUAACGCACGCUACCAGACGCAGCCAAUCACACUGGGAGAGGUUGAACAGUUGCUGCCAGCGGGUGGAGAUCGUUUUGCAUCCGCCUCUUCAUCGGUCCUAAAAUCCUCUACGGUUUCCACUGAACACGCCGGUGACAUCCACCUGGCCACGCCUAAUUUAUCUGGCCCCACCUACUAUGAGCAGGCCCUGUCCCCACCGCACCGCUCUCAGCCUGCCCAAGAGUCAUCCAGGAAACAGACACAUCAGGAAGCAGAUAUGUCAACUGUGGAGCAAGGAGAGAGGCUGGUUUUGGGCAUGGGGAAGAGGAAGCACCCCUCGCCAGAAAGCAUUAAACAGACGCCACAAGCUCAGCCUGACAGAGAGUGGGAGGAGCCGAAGGGGCAUAAUAUGGAGCUGGUGACCUAUCAAGACCUUUCAGAAACAGAUGGAAAGCACAAGUCAAAGGGACCCGUCUCAGAUCUUCCUGUGAACACAGCCGCAGUACGCGCAGAGGCCGCUGCGACGCAGGACUCAUCCUCGAUACGGGGCGUCUCUCUCACGCAGCACACACGCGCGCAGACGCUCUCAGAGUCUGGCCCGCACCUCCCCGUGGACUGCAGGAGAGAGCAGGAGUGUGAGACGGACUUUAUAACAGAGGAGGGAGACAUGUUCACAGACUUCAUGUCUGCCAGACAGAUGUCCAUCAAAGAGAGGCUGGUCCUGUUGAAGAAGAGCGGAGAGGAGGACUGGAGGAAUCGCAUCAAUAAAAAACAGGAUGUGGUGAAGGUCGCGGUGUCUGAAAAACAUGCUCAGCUGUGGGAGGUGGAGCAGAGCUUCAAGAAGAAGGAUGAUGGGAUGAUGAUAGAUGACUUUGCUGUGUCUGAUCAACUCUGGGACCCUGUCUUUUCCUCCUCUUUUUCGUGUGCCUCUGAACCACUGGAUCAUAUAGCCAUUCCCCCCCAGGCUUCCCCCCUGCCCGUGCAGGUGCAUGAGCGUCACCCCUGGAGACGGAAGAGGAUCGGAAAUGACCUGGUGGAGAGCCAGAGGAUCGAGCGAAUUGAGAUGUCCAUCCAGGAGCGCAUGCAGCUCAUCACCACGCAAGAAGAUGCCUGGAAGGUCAAAGGUCACGGAGCAGCCAAUGACUCGACUCAGUUUACAGUGGCAGGCCGGAUGGUCAGGAAAGGUCUGGCAUCCCCCUCUGUUCUCUCAAAUCCAGUGCUGUCUCCUCUUUCCUCUAAGAACAAGAAUGGUUCCCACACCAUCUCAAAGCCAUUCGAAGAGAUUGAAGUCAGACAUGACAUGAAGCUGGAAUCAGACAAGAAGCUGGAAAAGUUGGAGUCAUUCCUUGGCCGGCUCAAUAGUAAAGUGUCAGGUCUUCAGGAGAACACCGUUGCAGUCACAGAAAAAUCUGUUAAAGAGGUCAUGACCCUGGAGGAUGAAACCUUUGAUAAGUUUUAUCGGCACACAGAGGAAAUGGCCAAGAUUACAAGCAGAGUGGAAAUCAACGAUGAUUUCGAUGCCAUCUUUGGAACACAGAUGCCCAGGUUGACCUCAGAGAUGGUGCAGCACAAACGAGCAGUACGACCCACCAGGAACGUUCAGUCUUCCAGGAAUCCCCUGAAAAUGUUGGCCGUUAGGGAGGACAUUAGACACGAGUACACAGAGCAGAGACUGAACAUCGGGCUUCUGGAGAGCAAGAGGAUGAAACAGGAAAAGAUGAAUAAGAACAGCGGAUUCUCUGACGUUGCUCUCGCUGGAUUGGCCAGUAAGGAAAACUUCAGCAGUGUGAGUCUGCGCAGUUUGAACGUCUCUGAGCAGAGGUCGAACAACAGUGCCAUGCCCUAUAAAAAACUCAUGCUCAUUCAGGUCAAAGGUCGCCGGCACGUCCAGACCAGACUAGUGGAGCCCAGAGCCUCUUCCUUGAACAGCGGCGAUUGCUUCCUCUUGGUGACGCCUCAUUACUGCUUCAUCUGGAUCGGAGAAUUCGCAAAUGUUAUCGAGAAGGCUAAAGCAGCAGAGUUGGCCGCGUUCAUUCAGACAAAACACGACCUGGGCUGCCGAGCCUCGUAUGUGCAGAACAUUGAAGAGGGUGCCAACACUCAUACCCCCGCAGCCAAAGAGUUCUGGAAGAUUAUUGGCGGCCAAGCCAGUUAUCAGUCCGCAGGCCCUCCAGAAGAGGAUGAGUCAUAUGAGAAUGGUGUAGUGGAGACCAACUGUAUCUACAGACUAUUGGAUGAUAAACUUGUUCCUGAUGAUGACUUCUGGGGUCGAGUGCCUCGCUGCUCUAUGCUCAACUCUAAAGAAGUGCUGGUGUUUGAUUUUGGUAGUGAGGUAUACGUGUGGCACGGUAAGGAGGUGACGCUGGCACAGAGAAAAGUGGCUUUUCAGUUGGCCAAGCAUCUGUGGAACGGCACAUUUGAUUACAGCAACUGUGAUAUCAAUCCUCUGGAUCCUGGAGAGUGCAACCCACUCAUACCCAGAAAAGGCCAGGGACGGCCAGACUGGGCUGUUUUCGGCAGGUUGUCUCAGCAUAAUGAAACUACCAUCUUUAAAGAGAAGUUCUUGGACUGGAGUGACACCCAGAAAUCCUCGAGAAAAAAUGACUCAUCGCAUGCAAAUGAAAAUAAGGAGCAUCGGAGUGGGGAAUGUAGGCCCUAUGAUGCGUCUCUGAUGUUGCCGAUGGUACAGACUCCAGUAAGGACCGUUUUGGAUGGGGCAGAUAUUGGACGAGGUUAUGGAUUGGUGGAGGGCGACGAGGGGCGGAACUUUGAGAUCAGCACGUUGUCUGUUGAUGUUUGGCACAUUCUAGAGUUUGACUAUAGUCGUCUACCCAAACAGAGCAUCGGACAGUUCCAUGAAGGCGACACAUAUGUGGUCAAAUGGAAGUAUAUGGUCAGCACAGCAGUUGGCAAGAGGCUGAAUUCAGAAAGGAUCAUUGGCCCAGGGAAGGAGAAGUGUUGUUAUUUCUUCUGGCAGGGUCGAAACUCUACUGUGAGUGAGAAGGGAACGUCCGCGCUGAUGACUGUGGAGCUGGAUGAGGAAAGAGGAGCCCAGAUGCAGGUCCAGCAGGGAAAAGAACCUCCUUGUUUCCUGCAGUGCUUCAACGGAGGAAUGAUCGUCCAUGCUGGAAAGAGAGAGGAAGAGGAGGAAAAUGCACAAAAUGACUGGCGAUUAUACUGUGUAAGAGGAGAGAAACCCAUAGAAGGCCAUCUGCUGGAGGUAGUGUGCCACUGCAGCAGUCUGCGCUCUCGCACCUCCCUCAUCCUCCUGAACAUCCCUAAAGCCAGCAUGUACCUGUGGCACGGAUGCAAGGCGCAGAUGCACACGCGUGAUGUGGGCCGUACCACUGCCAACAAGAUUAAGGAACAGUGUCCUCUGGAGGCGGGGCUUCACAGCAGCAGUAAGGUAUCCAUCCAGGAGUGUGACGAAGGAGCAGAACCGUUGGGAUUCUGGGAAGCUUUGGGAAGGAGAGAUCGAAAGGCUUACGACUGCAUGCUGCAGGAUCCAGGAAAAUUCAACUUUACUCCUCGUCUGUUCCAACUAAGCAGCACUUCAGGAGAGUUUGUGGCUGUGGAGUUUGUGUAUCCGUCCAGAGAACCGAAUUUAGUCAACUCGAUGCCUUUCCUACAGGAGGAUUUGUAUACAGCCACUCAGCCAGCUCUGUUUUUGGUGGAUAAUCACCAUGAAGUUUACCUAUGGCAGGGCUGGUGGCCUGUGGAUAGUGAAAGCACGGGCUCAGCUCGUAUACGAUGGGACUCCGACAGGAAGUGCGCCAUGGAAACCGUGCUCCAGUAUUGCAAAGAAAAAAAUGAGAAGAAACCGCCAAAAUCAUACCUGAUCCAUGCAGGGCUGGAGCCUCUUACCUUUACUAACAUGUUCCCAUACUGGGAACACAGAGAGGACAUCACUGAGAUCACAGAGAAGGAAGCUGAAGUAUGUAAUCAGAUCAUUCUUGUUGAGGACGUCUUGUCUAGACUCUGCAAGACCACGUACCCAUUGGCUGAUCUACAAGCCCGCCCCUUACCAGAAGGCGUUGACCCUCUAAAACUUGAGAUCUACCUAUCAGAUGAAGACUUCGAGUCUUGCAUCUGACAGAGGUUAAUUUUUCCCUUCACAUGCCAGGGUGUAGGGGCUUCUGGGAAGAAAGCAUUGGAGAUGACAAGAAGUGAGUAUGAGGCACUGCCAGGAUGGAAGCAAGUGAAUGUGAAGAAAGCCAAAGGAUUGUUUUAGUGGGAAAUGUGUUCAAAGCGUUUGAAUCCGCAAGUGGAGAACUGUUCAUUCCAUUUGAUCCAGAUGGAAAAAAAACAAGCGUGCCUGUGUCAAACCACACAGGGACGAGAAGAGGAGGAAGAAAAAAGAAAAAACGAGAUUGCCAGGGGUUUACCAGCCUCUUGUAGCACAUUUCUUCCAGUUUUUAUUUUCGUUUGUUUUUUUAGUUUUAUUUGUUAUUCUUGUUUUACAACAAGCUCUUUGAGCAUUUCCCAGCUUGUUGUGUUCUUCCUGUCCACAUGAUAGAAGCCAUCCAUCCCUCAUGUACUGCCCAGCUUUAUGUAAAAACCCAUGAAAAGAAGCCUUUUAGUAUUAUCUGAAUGUAAGAAGGCUCAAGUGUCAUUGGUAUCAUGAAAGCACUGGUGUCACAUUAUGUAAUGACGUUCUUAACAUUCAUACUGCGUUAUUAAAUGGCCUCCAGAUUUAUUUAAUUAUCCAGAUAGAUGCUUGAGCUUUGUGUGUGCGUGUUUAUGAGUGUUUGUGAAUCUGUACAGUUAAUUGAGCGUCUAGGUUGGAUUGAAUGGUAAGUGUGGAAUAAGAGAAGAUAUCUUUCUAUUCUGCAUUGUAUAGUGCCUUGCCUUCAUGUACAGUUUAUAUAAAGACAGAUGCUAGUCUGCAUUUUGAAGACUUAUUUGUGAUAUAAAUAAAUAAUAGAGCAAAAUAAACACUGAAAUAUGUAGAUCAUA